rnacentral:rRNA from 1 species
UACGGAGGGUGCAAGCGUUAUCCGGAUUCACUGGGUUUAAAGGGUGCGUAGGUGGGUCUGUAAGUCCGUGGUGAAAUCUCCGAGCUUAACUUGGAAACUGCCAUGGAUACUAUAGAUCUUGAAUACUGUGGAGGUCAGCGGAAUAUGUCAUGUAGCGGUGAAAUGCUUAGAUAUCUGGAGGAAUACCGGUGGCGAAGGCGGCAUCCUGGACCGAGAUUGACACUGAUGAGCGAAAGCUAGGGGAGCAAACGGG